rnacentral:tRNA from 1 species
GCCUGGGUGGCUCAGUUGGUUGAGCGUCUGACUUCGGCUCAGGUCAUGAUCUCGCGGUUCGUGAGUUCGAGUCCCCUGUCGGGCU